ACCCGCGAACCCGUUUACAAAACAACCCGGGGGAGCGGCGCACGCCGCGUCCCCGGCCACAACACAACCCCGGCGCGGAUUGCGCCAAGGACCCUACACGAACAGCAGCGCGCCCCGCGCAGCCCGGUCCUCCGGGCGUCGCGGCGGCGUCGUGUCGUUUCUACUUAACAAAACGACUCUCGGCAACGGAUAUCUCGGCUCUCGCAUCGAUGAAGAACGUAGCGAAAUGCGAUACUUGGUGUGAAUUGCAGAAUCCCGUGAACCAUCGAGUCUUUGAACGCAAGUUGCGCCCGAGGCCUCGGCCGAGGGCACGUCUGUCUGGGCGUCACGCACCGCGUCGCCCCCAACCCCCUGCCUUGGCGGGGGGAUCGGGGCGGAGACUGGCCCCCCGCGCGCCCUCGCGCGCGGCCGGCCCAAACGCAGACCCCGCGGCCGCGAGACGGCGCGACGACUGGUGGUGUAUUGCUUACCCUGCGCAUCUCGUCGCGUCCCGAUCGACCCCGGGCGGUCAAGGCUACGUUUCACGAAACCGUGCGAC
rnacentral:rRNA from 1 species